rnacentral:rRNA from 1 species
UGGGAAUUUGGACAAUGGGCGAAAGCCUGAUCCAGCAAUGCCGCGUGUGUGAAGAAGGCCUUCGGGUUGUAAAGCACUUUUGUCCGGAAAGAAAUCCUUGGCUCUAAUACAGUCGGGGGAUGACGGUACCGGAAGAAUAAGCACCGGCUAACUACGUGCCAGCAGCCGCGGUAAUACGUAGGGUGCAAGCGUUAAUCGGAAUUACUGGGCGUAAAGCGUGCGCAGGCGGUUUGCUAAGACCGAUGUGAAAUCCCCGGGCUCAACCUGGGAACUGCAUUGGUGACUGGCAGGCUAGAGUAUGGCAGAGGGGGGUAGAAUUCCACGUGUAGCAGUGAAAUGCGUAGAGAUGUGGAGGAAUACCGAUGGCGAAGGCAGCCCCCUGGGCCAAUACUGACGCUCAUGCACGAAAAGCGUGGGGAGCAAACAGGAUUAGAUACCCUGGUAGUCCACGCCCUAAACGAUGUCAACUAGUUGUUGGGGAUUCAUUUCCUUAGUAACGUAGCUAACGCGUGAAGUUGACCGCCUGGGGAGUACGGUCGCAAGAUUAAAACUUAAAUGAAUUGACGGGGUCAUAGCUGUUUCCU